CCUACGGGAGGCAGCAGUGAGGAAUAUUGGUCAAUGGACGAGAGUCUGAACCAGCCAAGUAGCGUGAAGGAUGACUGCCCUAUGGGUUGUAAACUUCUUUUAUAUGGGAAUAAAACGUUCCACGUGUGGGAUUUUGUAUGUACCAUAUGAAUAAGGAUCGGCUAACUCCGUGCCAGCAGCCGCGGUAAUACGGAGGAUCCGCGCGUUAUCCGGAUUUAUUGGGUUUAAAGGGUGCGUAGGUGGAUUUUUAAGUCAGUUGUGAAAGUUUGCGGCGCAACCGUAAAAUUGCAGUUGAAACUGGCAGUCUUGAGUACAGUAGAGGUGGGCGGAAUUCGUGGUGUAGCGGUGAAAUGCUUAGAUAUCACGAAGAACUCCGAUUGCGAAGGCAGUUCACUGGACUGCAACUGACACUGAGGCUCGAAAGUGUGGGUAUCAAACAGGAUUAGAUACCCGGGUAGUC
rnacentral:rRNA from 1 species